UACAGAGGGGGCAAGCGUUGUUCGGAAUUACUGGGCGUAAAGGGCGCGUAGGCGGCCCGCUAAGUCGAACGUGAAAUCCCCGAGCUCAACUCGGGAACUGCGUCCGAUACUGGUGGGCUUGAAUCCGGGAGAGGGAUGCGGAAUUCCAGGUGUAGCGGUGAAAUGCGUAGAUAUCUGGAGGAACACCGGUGGCGAAGGCGGCAUCCUGGACCGGCAUUGAUGCUGAGGCGCGAAAGCUAGGGGAGCAAACGGG
rnacentral:rRNA from 1 species